GCAAGCAACAAACUGUUGAGUCCAUUUUUAGCAAUCUAAUCAGCUAAUCUGUUUCUUUUCAUUGAAGAAAUUAAACUAUUUACAUUCUUUGUGCACUAGUUUUGCUGUUUAUUAUUUUCUUCUAGUAGUUUUGAGUGGGUUAUGCCUGCCUCUUUCUCUUCUGUUUUCCAGAGGUUUGGCUACUCACUGAUUUAACAAUGCUUAACUUUUCAUGAUCCUCAUUUGAUAUUUUCUUUUUCCUUGUGACUUAAUCUUUCUCCCGUUGUCAUGGUUGAUUUUUAUCUUACUUCUCUAAUGCUGGGUUAGCACUCACAAAUUCUUUUAGUUAUGUAUUUUGAAGGCUUUUUUUCCUACUUCAAUUUCGAAGGAUAAUUUUGUUGGUAUAAGUAAUCUAGAUGGGUUGUUAUUUUUGUUUGGCAAUUGUAAACAAGGGAAAAUAACAGAAUGUACUAAAAUGCUAGAAAUCAAAAAUGUUUACAAAUAAAUAACCAAUAAAAGAGAAAAUAUGCAAAAGAGAGAAUUGUGAAAGAAGGGAGUGGAAAAUAUAAUUAAACAGCAAAAUAAGGACUUGUGCGAUGACUCAGUAGGUACAGCCUCUUGCUGCCUGACGACCUCAUCCCAUCUCAAGACCCGCACCCUGGAGGGAGAGGACAGACUCCUAUAAAUUUUAUUUGUAUUGCUUACCAUAACCAGCAGGGUACCUUUUCUUUUUCUUUAUUUCUUGUUGUUGUUGUUUUGUUGGUUUUUUUUUUUUUUGUUAGUUUGUUUUCUUUUUCAAGACAGGGUUUCUCUGUAGCUUCGGAGCCUGUCCUGGAACUCUUGCAGACCAGGCUGGCCUUGAACUCAGAGAUCCACCUGCCUCUGCCUCCUGAGUGCUGGUAUUAAAGCCAUGUACCACCCCUGCCCAGCCCAGCAAGAUACUUUAUGAGUGGAGCCACUUGUAACUCUUCAGAUACUCUGAUCACCAGAAUGAGCAGGGGUGGGCAGCGCCGGUGUUGCCUUCACAGCCAAGCCUGGGUUGAACUGAUGGUGGCAUGCUCCAUGUUGUUAGCGCACAUUUGUUUUGACUGGGUUGAGUGCAGUGUGUGUUGCGAUACGCUCUGCUGUUACAACAUACACACUGAAGGUUUGGAGUGGAGUGGUAGAUUGAAACUGUCCCCUCCUCCCACCACCGCGUGAUACCGGACAGCUGCCCACACAAUCCCAUGACCACUGACGUUCUCACAGCAAAACAAGCUCUCAAGGCUGACCGGUCAGUCUGCCAACAGAAAUUUGCUGUGGGUUCGUGGAGCCGUGGAAAUGCUGAAAGUAUUUCUUCUAGAGAAACAGUCUUAGACUCUGCUUCUUUCUUAAGAUGACCAGGUCUCCGCUAACAGUACUCCCAUGUACUUCUGCUCACUUGAAUAUGACAUCCAAACCAGUUUCCAGAAUUCUUAAAGGCCCCAAUGUUCCUACACUGGAAUGCAGAUUUUUCUGUGAUUUUGUCCUUCCUGAAUAUCACUGCUAAUAACACCACCCAGGACAGUUUCCUCCCACUCUCCCCAGUGAUGAUGUAAGCCUCCUAUCUAUGAAUAAACAGCCCACAUUCUGAUGACUUCACAGUGAUGAUGUAAGCCUCCUAUCUAUGAAUAAACAGCCCACAUUCUGAUGACUUCACAGUGAUGAUGUAAGCCUCCUAUCUAUGAAUGAACAGCCCACAUUCUGAUGACUUCACAGUGAUGAUGUAAGCCUCCUAUCUAUGAAUGAACAGCCCACAUUCUGAUGACUUCACAGUGAUGAUUGAUGAUGUAAGCCUCCUAUCUAUGAAUAAACAGCCCACAUUCUGAUGACUUCACAGUGAUGAUGUAAGCCUCCUAUCUAUGAAUGAACAGCCCACAUUCUGAUGACUUCACAGUGAUGAUGGAGCUGGAGGACCACUCAUGAUGCCCAGAAGUCUCCAUAGAUUUCCUCGGUGCCUCCUGCUCCUCAUCUCCACGCCAAGAAGACUCCCCAGGCCAUCAGAACAUGUCUGUGACCUACAUCCUCUGUCCGCCUCUCCCUGUUACAAUGUCUGUUCAUCCUUCCUCACAGCCAUCUCCACUUUCCCAGCUGGACCCUCAGUCCCAGAUACUGCUGACCUUCUUAGUGGGUUUUCAAAGCCAGGAGUCCAUCUCAGAAGACCCCCUGAAAGCUCCCAGUGCUCCAGUUCCCUCUGUGUACAUCUAGACUGGAGCCAAACAGUGAACCUGCUCUGCUGCAUGCACACCCUUCCCCUUACAACCUGCGGUUUACUCCCAAAGCUCCUUGCCAACCAUGGAUUCUACCCUAGUGUGAAAAGAGAAAGAGAAUCCAAUUAAGUGAGGAGAGAGAUAAUACACAGCAGGUACUUUUUAUGGUGGGGCAUACAAGCACGUCCCAGGGGCCAAGGAGGGUUUGGCUUUAGUGUUCCACUGUCUAAUGCUGAGAAAUAAAAGAAUCAACCUGAAUCCAUAUACUGAAAGUUAAGUUCCCACGACUAUACUGACUCAUCUCCAAAGGACCUUAGCAGCUGCUAUCAUGCCUGGAUAAGGCCUGGUACCGG